rnacentral:rRNA from 1 species
UACGUAGGGUGCAAGCGUUGUCCGGAAUCAUUGGGCGUAAAGCGCGCGUAGGCGGCCCGGUAAGUCCGCUGUAAAAGUCAAGGGCUCAACCCUUGAAAGCCGGUUGAUACUGUCGGGCUAGAGUCCGGAAGAGGCGAGUGGAAUUCCCGGUGUAGCGGUGAAAUGCGCAGAUAUCGGGGAGGAACACCAAUGGCGAAGGCAGCUCGCUGGGACGGUACUGACGCUGAGACGCGAAAGCGUGGGGGAGCAAACAGG